CGCCUGUUUAUUAAAAACAUGGUUUUUAAAAUUAUUUAAAAAUUUUACCUGCCCAUUGAUUUAUUAAUUAAAAGGCCGCAGUAUUUUGACUGUGCUAAGGUAGCAUAAUCAUUAGGUUUUUAAUUGAGAUCUGGUAUGAAUGGUUUAAUGAGAUAUAAGCUUUUUUAUUUUUAUUAUUUGAAUUUUAUAAAUUAGUUAAAAUGCUAAUUUUUGGAAAAGGGACGAGAAGACCCUAUAGAAUUUUAUAAUUAUUUUAAUUUAUUAAUUUUAUAACUUAUUUAUUAUUUAAUUGGGGAGAUUAUUAAAUUUAAUUAACUUUAAUUUUUAAAAUCAUAAAUUUAUGUUUUUAUGAUCUUUUUAUAUUGAUUAAAAAAUUAAAUUACCUUAGGGAUAACAGCAUAAUAAUUUUAAGAAGUUCUUAUUUUUAAAAUAGUUUAUGACCUCGAUGUUGGAUUAAAA
rnacentral:rRNA from 1 species